rnacentral:rRNA from 1 species
CAGCAGCCGCGGUAAUACGUAGGGUGCGAGCGUUAAUCGGAAUUACUGGGCGUAAAGCGUGCGCAGGCGGUUAUAUAAGACAGAUGUGAAAUCCCCGGGCUCAACCUGGGACCUGCAUUUGUGACUGUAUAGCUAGAGUACGGCAGAGGGGGGUGGAGUUCCGCGUGUAGCAGUGAAAUGCGUAGAUAUGCGGAGGAACACCGAUGGCGAAGGCAGCCCCCUGGGCCAACACUGACGCUCAUGCACGAAAGCGUGGGGAGCAAACAGGAUUAGAUACCCCGGUAGUCCCUGUCUCUUAUAC